rnacentral:rRNA from 1 species
UUUGAAAGGGAAACGAUUGAAGUCAGUCGUACCGGCGGGUAAUCAGCCUUUUGGGUGUGAUUAUGUGGGGCGUGAGGAGUUAAUCACCCUCAUCUUUGCAUAUUCGUGCACUUUGGGUGUACUUGCUCGUGUGGUAGGUUAACAUCAAUUUUGAUUAUCAUAAAAUGAUUGAGGGAAUGUAGCUUCGAUCUCGUAUUGAAGUGUUAUAGCCCUUGGUAGAUGUGAUGAUCGGGAUUGAGGAUUGCAACGGAUACCUUUCGGGGCUACCCGUCUGAUCUCUGAAAGUUGCUCUGGUGCUGAAAGCUUGCUUAUGGUAUCAAAGUGACGUCAAUAGUG